GGAGGAAGACCCUUUUUUUUUUUUCUUCUUCUUCGGAGGCUAGCAGACCAUCUUCCCAUUAGCGCAUGGUAUACAAAGCAAGGGCCGCUUCGACCACGAAAGCUGUCUCUUCACUUCUGCGAUAAUCUCGUUCUACAUAGUUGGACGGCGGUUAAAGCGGAUCCAACCAAUAAUUACCCGCUGCUGACUCUCGCCUUGUCCGUCCUUCCGAAUAGGUCCGGUCAGGCUGUAUCUACAGUCUUCGGAUCACUCGUUUCUUGGUCCCUCAGAAGGAAGCCAGGGAGAAGAUUUUUUUUUUUUUUUUGAAAAGAAAAAGAGCAGCUGGGGGGUUGAAGUGGUUGUAUAUAAGGAUCGAUCGGUACCAGCCGGCGGAGAGAAGCCGGCAAGUUGACCCAGAUCGAGCGCUCCCCGGCCGCCCUCACCGGCAGCGUCCUCAACGCCAGCAAUGUAGUUAUAGAUCCGCAUGGACUCGAGAAGCUACGAGCGCAACAGCCAGCGAGGCCGACGGAGAUGGUGCGGACCAUGGCCUCCAUCGUAUCUGGAUUGCAGGGAUCACCUCCCGAAGGGCACCCUGCCUGCUACGCUUUUCUUGCUGGAAGGUAUCGAUUUCAACCAUAAUUCGACAACAUCUGAUCCAUCCUCUCGAGCAGCGGUAUCGAAGCUUCCUUUUUUUAUUGUAAAAUUGCUAUAACUAUAUAUUCAUUCUAGUCUCCAAAACAAUCAUGUCCCCUUCUUUCACUAGAUUCACUCACAUCCUUCUAUGUGUUCAACUACUCCCGGGGUUACCUGUUACUUCCAUGGCAUUGCACAAAUCUCCGAGAUCGAUAGCUGUGGAUGAAGCCAGGCUGUUCUCGUGAUCUCCCAACUUCAUCCCUGGCAUUGUUCAUGGAGCUCGUUACAUGACUGCAGCCGGCAAGCGAUUGCCUGCGCCAACAAUCUUGUCGGAGACGGAGCACACGUAAAGGGAGAAAUGAAGGAAAUACCAUUUCCACCUUUUAAGGAGUUGAGGCCUCACCUCGACUGCGUUGCUCCGGGAGUUUCUACGAUUAUGGCUUCAUGUUCCAGCCGGAAUGGAAAAUCAUUGCAUUAACAAAUAUUCUGAAGGCUGAAGCACAAAUAGGGUUUGUUCCGGCACUCACUGCCUCAUGCUUCUUCAGAUAAAUAACCAGAAUGAGAAAAACCUGGUAUCAUCAACUAGCAUUACGAUUACAAUAUUUACAAGGCAUGGAUUCGUUGCUUUUGGCAAGUCUCCCUGCACUCAAGUUGUGUUCGAAAUGGGUUCGUUUUAUCAGAUUGGGAAGGUAUAUACAGGCUCUCUCAGCCUCAUGGAUUCGGCUUACCGAUAUUGUAUUUCUGCUUCGAUUGUUGCUGGAAUUGACAUGAUUGUGGUGCCUCACAGAUAUGAAAAGUUCCUAGAAGAUUUGAUGUUCCUGGAGGAAUCAUGGGAGAUACCAACUUCACAUGUUGAUGAUGCCGUAGAGCAGAGACCGAGCAGCCUUUCUUAGAUUGAUCUUCACUUGAAAUGAUUGGUUGUAAGGAACAUCGGCUAUUGGGACGGGAGGCAUGCAGUUCCGAAGUCUUUAUAUCAAAAAAUGGAAAGGAUCCAAAGAAACCAUUUCUUCCUCUAAAUAAAAAUGCUAGAAGAAGUCUUAUCACUGGAAUGCAUGCUGAUGAUAUUGGAUAUCAAUGUGCAGAUGGACUAUAACAUGCACGGAGGCAACAAAAGGAGCAUGAUUGCCUUGGAAGCCAUCAAAGAAUCAGUAGGCAAGGAAACAGAGGUGAUAUAAGAGGAACACCCAUCAGAAGCCACUUUUGCAGAUAAAGCAUUUCCAUUUGCAGCACCGUUUGCUGGUAGCAAGCAGUGCCGAAAGGAUGCUCUGAAUUUUUCGUUUUCAGGCAUAACUACUCUAGAAGCUCUCAUAGAAGCAACAGGAGAGAAAACAGGAGUUAUAUUGAAGGAACACUCAUCAAUAGCCAACUUCCUGGCUUCAAGCACUCUCAAUUUCAGCUGCUGUCAUUGAGGUGGUUCCCUGUGCGGAAUCUUUUGGAGACAAUCAGAGCACGGCAUUCCUUUUAAUGGUUGUGACAUGACAUCUCUAGUAGCUAACAAGGUUAUCACUUGUCUGGAGAUCAUGAGUUUGAGGGUUUAAAUAAGUUGCAAAUGGAUGUUGGACCUAUGUCAUAAGGCAUAUUUUCAGUUGGAUUUGGAUUCUGCAAAUGGUAGCUGAUAACAAAUAUACAUAAAAGUUUGUACCGUAAUCAAUCCAAAGGCUGGCCCUCGGGUGUAAUA